GCCAGUGUAUGAAAGGGAAAGCCAGAAGGAGAGGGGGUGGUAGCUUAGUACAUUUUGCUUCUUAAUCUCUUUAUGACCAUGUGGGCUGCUUAAACCUAUACUAAGGCACGUAGAAUUGAAAAUGAACCAUCACAUGUAGGUUAUUUUUUAUACCCUUAAGUCCUGCCCAAGCCAGGGCUGGGCCAAGGCCCUCAAAUGUCCAGCUGUGGCCUCCUCCUGCUGCAGAUGAGGAGUGGGCUGCAGGGAGGGCCAUGGUGCCUGCUCUGUCUCCAUCCCGGUCUCUGUCUCUCAGGCUGACCAGGGCACAUCCAGAGCUGGUGAGCCUGCAAGGCCUGGAUCAACGCGUGGUUGGGACAGGAGACCACCAGGGCAGUGCACAACUGAGAUCUCAGUCUCUGGUGUCAGCUCCUGGGUCCGCUGGCUCCACUGAGGGCAGCUAGACUCUGCAGCCAGGCGGUCUGGAUUCAGCUCCUUGCCUAUGUCUCACCAGCACGUUCUCUCUUGGUGCCUCAGUUUCCUCAUCCAUGACAUGGAGAAACUAUGAGCAUUUAUUUCUUGUGGCUGGAUGAAUGAAAAGGGUUAAUAUAUAUGAGGUGUUUGCAGCUG